rnacentral:rRNA from 1 species
AUUGAACGCUGGCGGCAUGCCUUACACAUGCAAGUCGAACGGCAGCACGGGAGCUUGCUCCUGGUGGCGAGUGGCGAACGGGUGAGUAAUACAUCGGAACGUACCCUGAAGUGGGGGAUAACGUAGCGAAAGUUACGCUAAUACCGCAUAUUCUGUGAGCAGGAAAGAGGGGGAUCGCAAGACCUCUUGCUUUUAGGAGCGGCCGAUGUCGGAUUAGCUAGUUGGUGAGGUAAAGGCUCACCAAGGCGACGAUCCGUAGCGGGUCUGAGAGGAUGAUCCGCCACACUGGGACUGAGACACGGCCCAGACUCCUACGGGAGGCAGCAGUGGGGAAUUUUGGACAAUGGGCGCAAGCCUGAUCCAGCCAUGCCGCGUGAGUGAAGAAGGCCUU